GAACGCUGGCGGCGUGCCUAACACAUGCAAGUCGAACGGGGUUAAGUGAAAUUUCGGAUGGAGCUUAACUUAGUGGCGGACGGGUGAGUAACGCGUGGAUAACCUGCCUCACACUGGGGGAUAGCAGCUGGAAACGGCUGGUAAUACCGCAUAAGACCACAGCACCGCAUGGUGCAGGGGUAAAAGAUUUAUCGGUGUGAGAUGGAUCCGCGUCUGAUUAGCCAGUUGGCGGGGUAACGGCCCACCAAAGCGACGAUCAGUAGCCGGCCUGAGAGGGUGAACGGCCACAUUGGGACUGAGACACGGCCCAAACUCCUACGGGAGGCAGCAGUGGGGAAUAUUGCACAAUGGGCGCAAGCCUGAUCCAGCCGACGCCGCGUGAGUGAAGAAGUAUUUCGGUAUGUAAAGCUCUAUCAGCAGGGAAGAUAAUGACAGUACCUGACUAAGAAGCCCCGGCUAACUACGUGCCAGCCGCCGC
rnacentral:rRNA from 1 species